GAUGAACGCUGGCGGCGUGCUUAACACAUGCAAGUCGAACGGGAAACCUUUAUUGGAGCUUCGGCAGAUUUAGAUUGUUUCUAGUGGCGGACGGGUGAGUAACGCGUGGGUAACCUGCCUUAUACAGGGGGAUAACGGUCAGAAAUGACUGCUAAUACCGCAUAAGCGCACAGAGCUGCAUGGCUCGGUGUGAAAACCUCCGGUGGUAUAAGAUGGACCCGCGUUGGAUUAGCUGGUUGGUGAGGUAACGGCUUACCAAGGCAACGAUCAGUAGCCGACCUGAGAGGGUGACCGGCCACAUUGGGACUGAGACACGGCCCAA
rnacentral:rRNA from 1 species